rnacentral:lncRNA from 1 species
UGAAUCAGGGUAAGGCAAUAGCAUGGAUUCAAAAACAGUUUUGUUCAGUGUGUAGUCACUCAAAAAUGUUAAUUUUUACAACAAAAAAUCUUCUGAAGUGUAACUUUGACAUGUUUUAUGUCAGUCUUUAUGAAUGAGUCGUUGAAUUACUCACUCAACCGAUUUGUUCAAACACACUGAUUCUUUCAGUAACAAAACAGUAUUAUGCCAGGAAUGCUGCAACAGUUAAAAGUUGUUGGACUUUCUUUUUUUAUGGGGGGUUGGGUUAUUGAGGAACUAAUUGAACUCUUGAACUCAUAAAUUUUCUGUGUCUUUUCAGCAUGAUUGUAAUUUCCUGUGGCUGAAUAUUAUGCCCGGCAGAUAUUUAGAACAAACAUAUUACAAAGACAGUGGCAUAACAACCUCAGUUCAGACCUUCAGCAUAAGAAUUUCAGGGUCAUCAUGACUGUAACCCUGGUAGCUAUACAGUACAUACUUAUGCAUGAAAUUAUACCUAGACCAUAAAUUUUACAUACUGUAUACUGCCGAACAGAAAUUUUACAGAAUAGGGUUCUUGAAGUAGUAUGGGGGGAGAGAGAGAGAGAGAGAGAGAGAGAGAGAGAGAGAGAGAGAGAGAGAGAGAGAGAGAGAGUAUAGAACUCUGGAUUACAUUAUUCGAAGAUAUAUGUUUAUAUGAACUGUGUACAAUGCACGUAUAAUCUUAUCAGUGCAUAAUGCAUAAUUACAUGUAUUUGAAUUCUGUGUAUCUUAUGCUAAUAAGUGUAGACAUAGUGGAUCAGCUGAUAUAGUGGGCAGAUGCACGGCACCUGCGCGAGCGCAUCAUUAUCUGGAGCGUGCUCGCGGAGAUCUGGGGCUGGCCACCGCCUUCACUCGCUGCAGCAUCAGGACCAUCAAGGACGAUGAGCCCCGAGCGAGUCACCGCAUCAAUGCGUUAAUCUCGCGCUAUUCCAAAGACCAGCUAUGAAUCAUGAAUGUGACAUUACUUUCAAAUCUGCUCGCGUGCAUCCUCGCUUCCCGUCUCCAUCCUACCGUGGCGUCAGCGUCAGCCGUGUUGGAGGCUGAGAUCCCCGGGGAGGCAGUGUCAUUGCUGCUACAAAAGGAUGAUACUGCAGCGGGACAGACGCACAAUGCCAGCGGGCCGCAGGAGUCAGAGCGAACACUCACAUACCCCUCCCGCCUCAUCUACUACCGGAAUGAAACUUCAGAGAGCACCUACCAUGACCUGAACACUCGCGCUAAGAUUCCUGACCCACAUGGACAGGUGAGAGCAUUCAACCCAGCAUCUCCUAAUUAUCAGGUUAUAUCAUAGAAACCCUAAAUCUAAAUAUAGCACAGCUGAUGCAGGAUUACAUCACUUGUUCACCAGUGGAUCCUCUGCAGUAAAUGGGUGCCGUCAGAAUGAAAGUCCAAACAGCUGAUAAAAACAUCACAAUAAUCCACAAGCGUUCCACACCACUCCAGUCCAUCAGUUCACAUCUUGUGACACAAAUCCAUCAUUACGAUGCUUUUAACUGCAUUUUGAGUCCUUAUAUACAUAACAUUGUUUUCUCCGGUCUGAAUUAGGAGAGAAAUAUGCACAGAUCAAGCACUGCUUACAAGCCAAAACAGUCUAAAACAGCUCUAUAUAAAUAUUCAGUGGCCAGAAGCUGCGGCUUAAAGUUAAAACGUCUUAAUGAUAGAAAUGAUUAGAAACACAAAGCUUUUCACUUCACAGGAUGGUAACUG